GCUAAACAAAAACGUCAUUGGACAUCCAGUUCAUGAAAAAGCUAGAUUUAUGCCGUGCAGAUUCUGACAUUGUGGUCUGUUUAAUGACAGUUUUGGAAGGCAUGGUAAAAAGGUCAGUCUCGCGCUAUCAACUUAAUCUCAAACUGGGGAAGAUAUUGCUGGUGGGUGUAAAAAUGAAAAAAAUUAUCAAAAUCAAAGAAAUAUUUCUUGCAACAGCCUGUGAUGUUGAGAUGCAGAAUCAGCAAAGAUGUCCUGUUUACUUUGUCGGAUUGACAAUGGAUAAGAGGUUAUUGACUGUUCUGCAAUCUGAUCUAUCAGAUAGGUGUUAAUUAUCCCAAUCCCCAGGGUCCGGAGAUUCCCAAAAGAAUUGUAGUAGAGGGGAGACAAUUGCACACUCCAGGCUCCAAAUUCCUCCAUCACCAUUAUCUCCUUUAGAUUGUAAGCUCAUGGGGUAUCCUGCAAACGCAAGACUGUAAGCUCAUGGGACAUCUUGUUACACAAUAUAUGGCCUAUUUACUAAAGUAGGACUUAGGGAGAAUUUACAAAGCAUUUGCAAAUAAUUUUUAGUCCCAAAAAUGUAAACAUUCCCAUUUUAGCUAUUUCUCCAGUGUGGCUAUUUUGCUGUUAAUUUACUGUUGAAUUGUUAAAUCUCUACAAUUUUAGUUUAGUGAAUAAACAGCUUUCUAUAAAAGAGAAACAAACACUAGAUUGUAAGCUCCCAGACCGAGCAUGUGCACCUAUUGUAUCAAGUCUUAAUAUAAAUUGUUCUGUUUGUUUCCCUAUGCAUUUAUAAAUGUACUAAUCUUUGGAUAGCAUAUAAAACAUAGGGUAUAUGGGGCCCAUAGUCAUGACUGUCCAUCUCAAUUCGAAUAAUAAAAUAGCUAUAUUCAGUCUAAGAAGGGUUCUUUUUAAAAAAGAUUAAAAUGAUAGCAGAACUGCAUUCAGAUCGUGCAGGCGGUGGCGCUGUGGGAGGGACCCUGAGCUUAUAGUGUAUUGUGUUCUUUCUAACCCAAUGCUGCAAUAAACCAGAAAUAUUCGGAAUAUGCUUCAUGAAUGUCUCAUCAUCUUCCGCUUGGAACUACGGACCCAAUAUUUUGUUUACAGCAAUGCUAUGUUAAGCAGAAAAGAUUUAUUUUUACACAUUUUCUGUGUAUUCCUUUUUUUUCGCCCACUGCACCCAGCUGUCCUGGGCUCAGACUCUUUUUGUGUACUUAUUCCCCCAUUGAUAACUCUCCUUGCAGCUUGUAUUGGCCAUCGGACCGAUAUUUAUUUACUUAUUAAUCCAGAGGUUAAAACAGCAGAUCUGACUCAUUGCGCUGAUUGCGAAACAUACGUGGGUGAUUUGCAAACUCACACCCAAGAAAAUCCCUCACAAAAGCCUGCGGGGUUCCCUUCCACCCCACCCAUCGUCCCACAUGGAGGGUGAAAUUACACAGCAUGCUGGCUGUCACGAAGAAAGGCCAUCUCGACAUAAGUAUCGCUGACUGAUCAAUCGCAGCUGCUGGACGCUGCAGUCAUCGGCAGGCGGCAGAGAGCGAGCAAGCAACCUUUACCAAUCUAUCCAGUUCUUUAUAAGGUCAAUGGAAGAAGUUCCAUUGAGUUGUGUAAUAAUAGCACACGUGUCGAUCAUUAUCAGUGGUAAACACAUUGUUAGUAUUUCAGUAUGUGAUUCCAUUGUUCGUGUAUAUUUAGCUCAAUCACUGUGUAAUGCGGCAUGGAACCUCUAAUACUGGGUCGCACGCCUUAUUGUAAUUUUACCAUCAUGGCAGGAAGGUGUUUGGGAGCUGUUACUGAGAAUGGGUGCCGGUUACAGGAAUCACAGGGUAAUAACAGUGAAAGCUUUAUAGAUAGAAAGAUGGGAGAUGCAGGAUACAGUGACCCUCUGACCUUCGAAAAAGCGAUUAUUGUAAAUCAGAGGCUUAAUAUAUACCGAUCCCGAUAUCACUCACAGACAAUCCAUCUGUUUAUCUGGGAGAAAAGUGAAACCAUUUAUCAAUUCGUUACAAAGAACACAGGACAUUCUGUUAAAUCAUUUAGGAGACUAUUAUUGUUCACAAAAAAAAUGGAUAUUUACACCGAAAUAGCAGGAAAUAAAUCCAAUUCUUGGCUAAUUUAGGGGGCUUUAUUUUCCAGUUUUACAAGUUAUUCACUAAUGAAUGCACCUGUUAGAGAAAUAAAACUGCUCAGUUUCUUGCAGUAAUACUGCGUGUUACGAUUAAUCGCUAUCUGGGUGACAUUAUCACCUGCCGUGUCUUAACAUUACUAGGGAGCCCCAGGAGCUGUGCUGGUUACUGGUGUCACCAUGGCCAUUGGCAGGAUCGUUCUGGCAGUAUGGAACACAGACAUAGGUGGGUAAAACAGGACUGAGUGCAGAUAAGGCUAGGUCUGGCUGAGAAUGUUAGGAGAUUCCAUUCAUAAUAGCUUAACUCUAACCCCCCCCAACAUUAACUCCACCCUAACUAUAAAUACUGUCAGGGCUGAUCCUAGGGACACAGGCGCCUGGGUGCAGAUUUUAUUUUUGAGCCCCAGGUUGGCUAGUUUAUGUUUUAAUUAUAUUAUACAUUUUAGUUAAAUAUUUUAGGUGAUUUUAUAUAUUUGUGUUAGUUAUACAUUGUAAUUAGUCACAUAUUUUUGGUAACUUCUGUGUGUUAAGAAAUUAUUGUCAGGCAACAGCAAAAUACAACGCUGUCCCCCAUGGAAUUAUGGGCGUUUUGGUCCAGCAAAAUAUUGAGGGGUGCAGUUUGAACCCCCAUGCUGUAUGAGAUCACAGUGAGUGCUAGCAACCUCUGUUAGUUAAAAACUAUUGCCUCCCCCCCCUCCCUGCACUAAUGUGAAACGUGCUGUUUUGCCUUUCAGGAGCCCCACCACGGGCUGGGAGCUGAGGAAACAGAGUGAUUAAUAGCUGAUUGAGAGUCACGGCCCACACAUCACCCCAGGCAGUUUACAAGAGCGCUAAUAUACAAGAAUACAGUGUAUACCCAAUUCCAGGCUUCCAGAAAUGUCUCUACAGGAAACAUAAUACGUGUCAAACCCUUCCUCUCUAUAUUUACAUCAUCUCGCUAGAAGAAAAUAAACAGUAUAUCAUGCACGUCACUGUAAUCCACACGUGGCCCAAUUAUACACAAUAUGGCGGCUACCCUGCCUGCCACAAUGGUGCAUACGGAGCUCUCUGCCCAGUGCUCUGCAGGGUAACGCAGUGCGUUCAGCAUCACUGAGCAAUCUGCCAACAUAACACACGGAGGAAGAGAACAGGUAAAGACCUUCCACGAUCAACGCUGUGUAUAUUCUACAAGGAUAUGCACGUUUUCAGAGUAACGUUCAACAUAUAUGCAAAAAAAGUACUCUACCACAUAAAAAGUUAAAAACUGAAAAAAAAAUCUAAAAAAAAUUAAAAUGUUAUAUCGCUAGUGUCCUUGAGACUAUUGGCACAACAUUGCAGAAAAACUAAUAACCCCUGCCCCCAAAACUACAGAACUCUCACACCCAGUCCGUAAUGUGGAAAACUUGUCCGGCCUCCAGACGCCACGCUCCACGUGUAAAGUAAUGGUUUUGGCGAACGCGGAGAGCUGUCCCGAGGUUAAACGGGUGGCUCUGCUUGUUACUUCUCCCAACCCCACAGACCUCUUAGACGGCACCCACCUAUUUUAUUAUUUCUAUUAAUUAAACUCCACUCUUAGUGGAUAUGAUGAGAAUAGUUGUUACCGCCCUCACUUUAAUGUGUGGGUUCACAUUCAGUUGUGAUCGAUGCAAUAAUGUAUCUAGGUGAAAUACUGCCACAAUAGUUCAAAACUGUAUAACCUAUAUAAUCUGUCUCCCAUGUAAUAUGUGUUAAAUACCCAGGUAAUAUACGUGAAAUGUCCAUGUAAUAUGUGUUAAAUAUCUGGUCCCUCCAGCAUGAUACAGCAUGUGACAAAAGUCAAAUAACGAUUGAACUCCUACGCAUUUCGUGACUAUGCAAUCACUUCAUCAGGGAGUAUGACUGAUCACCCACACACUGACUUAAAAUGAGGAUUUAGCUCAUGGGUAGGCAACGUCCGGGACUCUACAGCUCCGAUAAUGCUCUUACAGCCAGAAUGCUGGCAAAGCACAACAUCUGUAGAGCUGAAGGUACUACCCCUGAUUUAGUUAAAGGACCAUUAUAGUGCCAGGAAAACAUACUCGUUUUCCUGGCACUAUAGUGCCCUGAGGGUGCCCCCACCCACAGGGACCCCCUCCCGCCGGGCUCUGGGUAGAAGAAGGGGUUAAACACUUACCUUACCCUAGCUCGACCUGGCACCCAGACCACUUAAUUAAGCUGAAGUGGUCUGGGUGCCUAGAGUGGUCCUUUAAUCACUCCUGAACAUCAAUUGCACAAAUAAUUAGAGGAGCUAUAGCGUCCAAUCACUAUGACGAUAGUUUCAGUCCGCUGAUACUUUGUAUCGCUCAAUCGUAACAUAAAACGGAGACACUUUAUGAAGGGAUUCCUAUUGGCUUUGAUAGUUUAAAGGUUACAAUAAAUACUUUAUCACAAUUGGUAAAUUGCGAGCAUUCCUGCGACAUUGUGUUAAAAAGAAGAAUCUCC
rnacentral:lncRNA from 1 species